UUUAAGUAAAAUUGUCUUACCUGGCCAGAAAGAACCUGUUCUAAUACUAUUCUAAUGAUUUAAUGUACAUGUUAUAUUUCUGAUGGAAAAACUGGUACAGAAAAUGUUGUUGUAUUCAAAGGGGUAAGAAUAGCAUAAAUUUCAAGAUGUCUAAUCUGUCUGCUGUACUUCCUUUUUCACAUGUGCUUUUCUAUUAGUGACCUCAUUCAACACAUGUUAUGACUGAUAAACUCAUGAUCUGACCAAACAGAUGAAAGAGACUACACUGAUAAAAAUGUGGUAAAAUCUAAAUGAACUGGUAUUAUUUCAGUCAAAAAUAUUAUUUAACACCACUGAGUCAACCUGAAUACACUAGGUUACAUGACAAAACAUUUUUAAGAGUUAAGUCAAGUAGAAAAAAUAUUGCAGCUUACCACUUUUUGUACAGUUUACACACUAACUGAAAUCUCUCCCAUUUGAACAAAUAUAUGGCCAAAACUAAGCCUUGCUAGGCUCAAAACUCAGGCAAGUUGUUUUUUAAAGGUUGACAGCCUGUGGUGAAUGCAGGCAGUUGAAUAAACAAGGCUAAUGGAAAAACAAAACUUGUUGAAAAGGCUCCUUGAUUAUGGUCUUUGAUGGAAAUCAAAGCAUAGACUCUCAGUUAAUGUCUAAUGCACAAGAAGUGCCGUCUACAUGGGCAGAACAAUCAGAGAAGGAACAAGAUCCUCAGGAUGGAAGGAGGGUGAUUCACUGUCCAAACAGCGAUGUUUUCAAGGCAAACCAGACAUAAACAGAGAAAAUGACCAACACUACAACAGUGAAAGGAAAGUACACCCAAUAGAGUUAGGAAUCUCCACUUGAGGUCCUUGAUUCGAAUACACUGCCCAACAAGGUAAAAUGGCAAAACCAUAGAGAGUUUUGUGAGGUUUUCCUUCAAAAUAUGUGUUUUUUUCACAUGAAUAGAGGCAAUCCAACGGCAGUGGAAUAUGUGUUUAUGUCUGUGAGCCUGGGCUUGAGUGACUCAUUGAUCCAGGUUUAUAGAUGGAGGGAACGGUACUUUUAGUGCCAUGACCAGAGGAAGGGAUAUGCUGUGUGGGCUUCUUGUGACUCACCAGUCUACCAAAGAGUUAUACAUGAGCAUGCCUCUGUAACUUAAAAAUAACGUUUGUGUGUGUGAAUAUGAGUUGCUGUUUUUUAUUUAAUCCGGUAUAAAAGGAUAGACAUUAUUUUUUUCAGAUUCUUCUGUUAUUCUGUGAUGCAUGGAUGUGUUGCAUUCUUUUUAGUAUAGUACAACCUUAUUUUUAUUUUUUAUAGUGGACUUUAUAGGGGCGACGAUUCUGAGGAGUAAUGCAAAUAGUAGUUCCACUGGACUAGUAGUUGCACAACUACCUGGACCAUAAAUGUAAAUUACAUCCAAAACAACAUAAUAAUAAAUAAGUUUUAUAUUUCAAAAGACUCUAAAUGCUGAUUUGUACAUUCACCAUUUUCAUCAGUAAUCACAUCACAUUCUGUAUAUUCUUAUACCACAGUAUUGACAUUAAAGCAUUGUGACCUGCUGUACUUCACUUAAAGGGAUAGUUCACCCAAAAAUGAAAAUUCUCUCAUCAUUUAUUCACCCUCAUGCCAUCUCAGAUGUGUAUGUCUCUUUUUCUUCUGCAGAACACAGAUGAAGAUUUUUAGAAGAAUAUUUCAGCUCUGUAAGUCCAUACAGUGUAAGUGAAUGGUGACCAGAACUUUGAAGCUCCAAAAAGCAUAUAAAGACAGCAUAAAAGUAAUCCAUACGACUCCAGUGGUUAAAUUCAUGUCUUCAGAAGCUAUAUGAUAGGUGUGGGAUCAAUACUGAAGUAAAAAAAAAAAAAAUAUUGUUAUGCAUACAGUUUAUAUGAUCUCAUGUUUAUUAAAAGACUAUACAUUUAGUUUUAGUACUUAAAAAAAGUAUUUGUUCACCACACAAAUAAUCAGUAAAAUAAAAAAAAAUAAAAAAUAAAAAAAGAAGGUGAUCAAAAUGUAAUAAUAAUAAUAAUAAUAAUAAUAAUAAUAAUAAUAAUAUAUAUAUAUGUAUAUAUAUAUAUAUAUAUAUACACACACACACUACUGGUCAAAAGUUUUGAAACACUUGACUGAAAUGUUUCUCAUGAUCUUAAAAAUCUUUUGAUCUGAAGGUGUAUGCUUAGAUGAUUGAAAUUAGUUUUGUAGACAAAAAUAUAAUUGUGCCACCAUAUUUAUUUUGUUUAAUUAUAAAACUAAAAUGUAAUUAAAAAAAAAAAAAAGUUUUUGAAAUUGAUGACUUGGACCAAAUAAUAAAGAAAAGCAGCCAAUAAGUGCCCAACAUAGAUGGGAUCUCCUUCAAUACUGUUUAAAAAGCAUCCCAGGAUGAUACCUCAAGAAGUUGGUUGAGAAAAUGUCAAGAGUACAUGUCUGCAAAUUCUAGGCAAAGGGUGACUACUUUGAAGAUACUAAAAUAUAACAUAGUUUUGAUUCACAACAUUUGAUGUUUAGUCACAACAUAAUUCCCAUAUUUCCAUUUAUGUUAUUCCAUAGUUUUAAUGACUUUACUAUUAUUCUAAAUGUGAAAAAAAAUUAUAAUAAAGAAUGAGUAAGCGUUUCAAAACUUUUGACCGGUAGUGUAUAUAUAUAUAUAUAUACAGCUAUAUGACCAGGUGCAGCACUUGAAAUAUACAGUAUACUUUCCCUUAUACAUAAUAGUAGAAGAGACAGGGGCUAGUUGUCAUACUUUUUACUCCAGUGAAGAUUUCUCAGGGAAGGUUUAAUUUUGAAAAUCAAUGUGUGUAGACACAUACCUUAAAGUCUUGGCUUAAAAUUAAAAAAGUAAACAUUUCCACCAUUAUUCCCCAGGAAAACAGAUAUAGUUAAUUGUACACAUCUUGACCAUGACCCUAUGGCGUAGCAUGUUGCAACACUAUAUAGGGGUAAGUUGUCAUAUAGCAUACAAUAAACUUUUCAGUAAAAUCUAAACAGCAAAACAAUAACAAAACAAAACACAAAUCCAUUUAUUUUGUUAACCUUAAUGUAAUGUAAUCUAUGUAUAGCUAUUGUGACAAAUACCCCAUGUGACAGCUUACCCUGUUAACAUUUUUACUUAAAAUUCUAAUCUUUAAAAAAAAAAAAAAAAAAAAAAUGUUAAUAAAAUAUUUGCUUUGCUACUAAACAGCGCCAUCUAGUGCCACUGCAAGUGCCAUCACAUUUGCAGUGGCAAUCAUUGCAGUAGUGUGUUUUUAGGACACGUUUCUCACCCGCCAAGUUCGAAAUGGCAUACUACCCAACACUACUCUUCCUACUUCUGCCACAUCUUCUGCUUCUCUUGAGUAGUAUGGUAGUAUGCCAUUCUGAACUUCGCCUCUCUCUCUCUCUCUCUCUCUCUCUCUCUCUCUCUCUC